UAGAAUUUUAAUCGAAUUUUUCAACUAAGUAUGGAUUAUUAAAAUUUUCGUAAUUUUAGUUGGCGUGAAUAGAGUCUAAUAAAUGCUAUUCGUCUCUUUGUUUGUUUUCCAUGACAACGAUGAUUACAAAGCUCUUAAAUAUUGAUUAUACAAAUUAGAAUAAUUUUAUUUGUUUUUGUAAGCUGACGGUGGUCUUCAAAUAAAUAAAUCAUAUUCUAAAAUCAUGAAUAACGAUUUUGAUGCACUGAGCAUGAUUGUAAAUAAUGAAGAAAAUAAUCCAGAAAGUGUUUCUUCAUCUAAUACUACAAUUACAUCAGAUUAUCGGUGAAAUAUUUGUCAUUGAUAAAUUUGUUUUUAUUAUAUUCCAGCAAAAGUAACAAUAUCUGAUUAUUUUUGGUUAAUAGGAUUUUAUGGAUGUGGAAUAAAAUAAUUAAAUUUUUUAAUCUUGAGCACGAUCAUAAAAAUUUGUUCGAAAAAUUAUUUGAGGAAAAUGAUGUAGAAGAGAACCUGAUGAAAUUUUUUAAUUUAAACUCAAUUGAAGAAGUAAGUCUAGACAAUAAAGUUUUAUUCUUCUUUAAAACUUAUCGAAACGAAAUCAUACAAGAAGAGGUUGCAUUUUGGGAAGAAAACAAAGGACGAUCUCAAAAACCAACCAAAAAUGCUUACGGUAAA